AUGGAAAAGAAUCAGGGCCAGACACAAGGAGACCAUAUAACAGGCUCUUACAGGAGCCCAGGAGAAAGAUAAUGGCAGUUUACCAGCAAGUACCCUAAAUGUGGAUGCUCAUGCUUACCAUGACUGAGGCAGCAGACAUCAUGAGACCCUCAGCUUUAUUGAGGUAUAACUGAUGCACCAAAAACAAAAUCUGUACAUAAUUUACAGAGUUUGAUGAGCUUGGACAUACACAUAUCCUCUUGAUACCAUCACCAUAAUCAGGGUAAUAAAUAUAUUCUUUACUU